ensembl:lncRNA
CUGGAUGUUUGGGUUGAGCUGCAAAAUCUGGCUGCCUGCUGGGGUUGUAAAGAGGUCCCAUGCAGAGAGGCGAAUUCUGGGAACAUCUGCCCACAUAAACAUUAUGCAACCAAGGAGUCAAGGAAAGGAACAGCAAUUUGUGGGAAGUAUUACCAGAGCAUGGAAUGCCAGCACUCUUCCAGGUGUAGCUUCAAGAGAAUGAUCCAUGGUUUGCCACAAGAAGACAUUCGAGCAGAGAAGCAACAAGCAGCAGCCUGGACAGAGGCUACUGAGGCACACAGGGAAGUGGCUCAGCUCCUCCUAGCAGGAUCCAAGGCAGGAUCCAAGGAAGCAGGUUAAUUUACUGUGAGGCAGAGAUGUGUCCUACUGAAUACUAGGCCCCAUUAACUUAAUAUGCUGUGAAGUUCACACCCUUUG